UUCAGAGGUCUCAAGCGUUGUUCGGAUUCAUUGGGCGUAAAGGGUGCGUAGGCGGCGCGGUAAGUCGGGUGUGAAAUCUCGGAGCUUAACUCCGAAACUGCAUUCGAUACUGCCGUGCUUGAGGACUGGAGAGGAGACUGGAAUUUACGGUGUAGCGGUGAAAUGCGUAGAUAUCGUAAGGAAGACCAGUGGCGAAGGCGGGUCUCUGGACAGUUCCUGACGCUGAGGCACGAAGGCCAGGGGAGCAAGCGGG
rnacentral:rRNA from 1 species